CCUGGGAUACAGUGAUCAAAGCUGCUAUGAGAAAGUACCCCAACCCAAUGAAUCCCUGUGUGGUAGGAGUAGAUGUCCUCGACAGAAGCCUUGAUAACCAGGGGAGGUUGCAUAGUCACCGACUUCUCAGCACAGAGUGGGGAUUGCCAAGUAUUGUAAAAGCGAUUUUAGGAACAAGUAGAACUCUGACUUAUAUUGAGGAGCAUUCUGUGGUAGAUCCAGUGGAAAAAAAGAUGGAGCUUUGCUCAACUAAUAUUACUCUCACAAACUUGGUGUCUGUUGAUGAGAGACUGGUUUACACGCCUCAUCCUGAAAACCCUGAAAAAACUGUGCUAACUCAAGAAGCAAUUAUUACUGUUAAAGGCAUUAGCUUGAGCAGUUAUCUGGAAAGCUUAAUGGCAAACACGAUAUCUUCUAAUGCCAGAAAGGGGUGGGAUGCUAUUGAGUGGAUAAUUCAAAAUUCUGAAAGCGCUCUAAGCUAGCAGUUCUCCACAUCUACAGUUUGUACUAACUAGUGGUAAUGCCAGCAUUCUUCUUCUUGGGUCGGGAUGCCCUGGAGUGGGUGAUCAGCAAACUAAACACAGAAUUGGAGGAGCUGAAGUCAACGCGCGAGGGCAUGAAACCAGCCAUGGCAGCAGCAUCAACAGGAAAAUAAAACCAAAAAUACCAAGUAACCAACAGAAAAGUUUUACCCUGCAGACUGCUUUGUAGAUCUCCCUUCCAAGGCUGAUCUGCAUAUGUUUAAUAUAUUUAUAAGAAUACCGGAUCUGCAGAAAAGUAACCUCAUCUGUCAUCUCCACAGCAGCUCCUGUUGCCUACUGAAGAUUAAAUUGACCUCCUGCAGAUGCUCUUUUAAUUUAAACAAUUUAUUUUUAACACUGGAAACAAAACAUUUAGCACAUUUAAAACUGCCUAAAUGUGCCUUUUUGUAACAAAGAUAGAGAGUGUAUUAUAUUUGCACCAUCUUGGUUUUUCGUACUCAAACUUGAAAAGAAUGCAUGUGUGGUAUUAAGGAUUUUCCAUGUGAACCUUUGUUCUGUGAAGGGCUGAUUGGUACUAGAGCACUGAAUUUUGUGUUUUGUAAUCUGAUAGUGUCUUAUAACCAUUCAAAAGGAAUUACGUGAGUCAGAACAUGAUACUGUAGAAUUAGAUGUGUAUCUAGAGGAUCAUCCCGAAAAGCUAUAACUUAUUUGGUACGAUCUUUUCCUGUAUUGUUUAAAUGUGCUGCCUGAACGUGACACACAGAUGCUUUACCUCUUAGAUGUUUGUAUCCAAACAAAGAUAAAGUUUCUAUUGGUGUUAAUAGCCUAGAACAGUUUUUUGGUGGGGAGAAGGGUAUAAUUUAUUUUCAUAUUUAUUAACUUGACCUAGUUCCUACCCUCUAUAUGAGGAGGAGUAGUAAUUCCUGGAAGGUGCUGGAAAAUACUUCUCUUAUUUAUCUCUAAGAAGGGUAUUUGUAGGCUACUUGAAUGAAGAGACUGUGCUGUUCCACUGGUCCUUGCUCUUCACAUUGUGUCUUAACUGAGGGGGAGACUGAUACAAUAACCAGAAGAGUUGAAAUGAGAAAUAAGCAGGAAAUUUGAAAUCCAAAGGUUUCAUGAAGAUGUACUUUUCAUGCCCUGAAUGGAGAAAACAAGAAAACAAGAAAAACAAAUGGACUCUCCUUUUUGAGUGCUUUCUACUAACUAUUGACUACCAGUGUAACUGAAUUUUUUUCAACUUUUCCACAUUGUUACAAAAUGGUUUUAGAGUAAUUGUAAAUGCUUCUCAUUACCUAGAAGAAUACUCCUGUAACUGCAGAAAUUGUUUCCUAUAAAACAGGCAUAAGUAUAUAUUGAUAACAGCCCUAGCCUUGUCUGAUGUUCACAGCAUUUUCAUAUUUGGUUCAGGUGUAGUAUAUGUUUCUUAGACAGCACUCUGUUAGGGCAUUUAAACUUAUUUUUUGGUGUGCACACAAAGUGAAAUAAGUGUUGGAAGGAUGUUUACUCGUUCAAGUGGCAAGCUUGUGUUUAGGAAGCUGUUAAAGAGCAUGAGUAACUUCUAAAAAAACUAGAAGAGCAAAAUGUGGUCACUGUUUUGAUCUGCUAUUUUUAAAGUGUCUGUAGCUUAAGGGAAACUUCAGCAUUCAUAUUCUGGUUAGUUUGAAAGUGAACAUUAAUUUGGGUGUAACUAUAGUUUUACUAAAUUACGUGAUCCUAAUGAAUAAACUUAAUUUUAAAAAA